UACGUAGGGUGCAAGCGUUAAUCGGAAUUACUGGGCGUAAAGCGUGCGCAGGCGGUGAUGUAAGACAGGUGUGAAAUCCCCGGGCUUAACCUGGGAACUGCAUUUGUGACUGCAUCGCUGGAGUGCGGCAGAGGGGGAUGGAAUUCCGCGUGUAGCAGUGAAAUGCGUAGAUAUGCGGAGGAACACCGAUGGCGAAGGCAAUCCCCUGGGCCUGCACUGACGCUCCAGUGCACGAAAGCGUGGG
rnacentral:rRNA from 1 species